GAUGAACGCUGGCGGCGUGCCUAAUACAUGCAAGUCGAGCGAACGGACGAGAAGCUUGCUUCUCUGAUGUUAGCGGCGGACGGGUGAGUAACACGUGGAUAACCUACCUAUAAGACUGGGAUAACUUCGGGAAACCGGAGCUAAUACCGGAUAAUAUUUUGAACCGCAUGGUUCAAAAGUGAAAGACGGUCUUGCUGUCACUUAUAGAUGGAUCCGCGCUGCAUUAGCUAGUUGGUAAGGUAACGGCUUACCAAGGCAACGAUGCAUAGCCGACCUGAGAGGGUGAUCGGCCACACUGGAACUGAGACACGGUCCAGACUCCUACGGGAGGCAGCAGUAGGGAAUCUUCCGCAAUGGGCGAAAGCCUGACGGAGCAACGCCGCGUGAGUGAUGAAGGUCUUCGGAUCGUAAAACUCUGUUAUUAGGGAAGAACAUAUGUGUAAGUAACUGUGCACAUCUUGACGGUACCUAAUCAGAAAGCCACGGCUAACUACGUGCCAGCAGCCGCGGUAAUACGUAGGUGGCAAGCGUUAUCCGGAAUUAUUGGACGUAAAGCGCGCGUAGGCGGUUUUUUAAGUCUGAUGUGAAAGCCCACGGCUCAACCGUGGAGGGUCAUUGGAAACUGGAAAACUUGAGUGCAGAAGAGGAAAGUGGAAUUCCAUGUGUAGCGGUGAAAUGCGCAGAGAUAUGGAGGAACACCAGUGGCGAAGGCGACUUUCUGGUCUGUAACUGACGCUGAUGUGCGAAAGCGUGGGGAUCAAACAGGAUUAGAUACCCUGGUAGUCCACGCCGUAAACGAUGAGUGCUAAGUGUUAGGGGGUUUCCGCCCCUUAGUGCUGCAGCUAACGCAUUAAGCACUCCGCCUGGGGAGUACGACCGCAAGGUUGAAACUCAAAGGAAUUGACGGGGACCCGCACAAGCGGUGGAGCAUGUGGUUUAAUUCGAAGCAACGCGAAGAACCUUACCAAAUCUUGACAUCCUUUGACAACUCUAGAGAUAGAGCCUUCCCCUUCGGGGGACAAAGUGACAGGUGGUGCAUGGUUGUCGUCAGCUCGUGUCGUGAGAUGUUGGGUUAAGUCCCGCAACGAGCGCAACCCUUAAGCUUAGUUGCCAUCAUUAAGUUGGGCACUCUAAGUUGACUGCCGGUGACAAACCGGAGGAAGGUGGGGAUGACGUCAAAUCAUCAUGCCCCUUAUGAUUUGGGCUACACACGUGCUACAAUGGACAAUACAAAGGGCAGCGAAACCGCGAGGUCAAGCAAAUCCCAUAAAGUUGUUCUCAGUUCGGAUUGUAGUCUGCAACUCGACUACAUGAAGCUGGAAUCGCUAGUAAUCGUAGAUCAGCAUGCUACGGUGAAUACGUUCCCGGGUCU
rnacentral:rRNA from 1 species